rnacentral:rRNA from 1 species
GACGAACGCUGGCGGCGUGCCUAAUACAUGCAAGUCGAGCGGACCACUUCGGUGGUCAGCGGCGGACGGGUGAGUAACACGUGGGCAACCUGCCUGUAAGACUGGGAUAACACCGGGAAACCGGUGCCAAUACCGGAUAAUCCUUCUCUUCUCAUGAAGAGAAGCUGAAAGACGGUUUCGGCUGUCACUUACAGAUGGGCCCGCGGCGCAUUAGCUAGUUGGUGAGGUAACGGCGCACCAAGGCAACGAUGCGUAGCCGACCUGAGAGGGUGAUCGGCCACACUGGGACUGGGACACGGCCCAGACUCCUACGGGAGGCAGCAGUAGGGAAUCUUCCGCAAUGGACGAAAGUCUGACGGAGCAACGCCGCGUGAGCGAUGAAGGCCUUCGGGUCGUAAAGCUCUGUUGUCAGGGAAGAACAAGUACCGGAGUAACUGCCGGUACCUUGACGGUACCUGACCAGAAAGCCACGGCUAACUACGUGCCAGCCGCCGCCGUAA